CAUUAACGAAUUGUAAUUGGAGUUGAUGCUGGCAGGCUUGGCUGCAUGUGCUCGCUCCUAACAAUCUUCAUCCAAACACCUGUGCACAUUUAGAGAGGGUCUCCGAGUCCUCCUUGGAGUCCCUUCCUCUCAUUACACACUUUAUUUCAAUGUUGAACGUGAUUGUGCCGUAAGGCCUUAAUAUUAAUACAACUUUUAACAACGGAUCUCUUGGCUCUCGCAUCGAUGAAGAACGCAGCGAAAUGCGAUAAGUAAUGUGAAUUGCAGAAUUCAGUGAAUCAUCAAAUUUUUGAACGCACCUUGCGCUCCCUGGUAUUCCGGGGAGCACGCCUGUUCGAGUGUCGUGAAAUUCUCAAACCGGGAUGCUUUUUUUGUUUCUCGGCUUGGUGUUGGGCUUUGCAGUUCCUUUGAUUGGGAUGGCUGGCCUUAAAAGCAUUAGCUGGCUUUUCAUGUGGCAUUGGUUCUACUCAGCGUGAUAAUGAUCUGACCGCUGAGGACAUCUUUCGAGAUGGCCAAUUCUCAUUUGGGCUGCUUCUAAUUUUGGUAGAGCAGAUUCUGAAUCUGUUCCACUUUUCAGCUUUUGACCUCGAAUCAGGUGGGACUACCCGCUGAAC
rnacentral:rRNA from 1 species